rnacentral:rRNA from 1 species
GAUGAGCGCUGGCGGCGUGCCUAAUACAUGCAAGUAGAACGCUGAAGGAGGAGCUUGCUCUUCUGGAUGAGUUGCGAACGGGUGAGUAACGCGUAGGUAACCUGCCUGGUAGCGGGGGAUAACUAUUGGAAACGAUAGCUAAUACCGCAUGACAACAGUUAUUGCAUGAUAACUGUUUAAAAGGGGCAACUGCUCCACUACCAGAUGGACCUGCGUUGUAUUAGCUAGUUGGUGAGGUAACGGCUCACCAAGGCGACGAUACAUAGCCGACCUGAGAGGGUGAUCGGCCACACUGGGACUGAGACACGGCCCAGACUCCUACGGGAGGCAGCAGUAGGGAAUCUUCGGCAAUGGACGGAAGUCUGACCGAGCAACGCCGCGUGAGUGAAGAAGGUUUUCGGAUCGUAAAGCUCUGUUGUAAGAGAAGAACGAGUGUGAGAGUGGAAAGUUCACACUGUGACGGUAUCUUACCAGAAAGGGACGGCUAACUACGUG